rnacentral:rRNA from 1 species
CUUCGGAGGACAAAGUGACAGGUGGUGCAUGGUUGUCGUCAGCUCGUGUCGUGAGAUGUUGGGUUAAGUCCCGCAACGAGCGCAACCCUUGAACUUAGUUGCCAUCAUUCAGUUGGGCACUCUAAGUUGACUGCCGGUGACAAACCGGAGGAAGGUGGGGAUGACGUCAAAUCAUCAUGCCCCUUAUGAUUUGGGCUACACACGUGCUACAAUGGACAAUACAAAGGGCAGCGAAACCGCGAGGUCAAGCAAAUCCCAUAAAGUUGUUCUCAGUUCGGAUUGUAGUCUGCAACUCGACUACAUGAAGCUGGAAUCGCUAGUAAUCGUAGAUCAGCAUGCUACGGUGAAUACGUUCCCGGGUCUUGUACACACCGCCCGUCACACCACGAGAGUUUGUAACACCCG